CGCGUACGUACGUACGCUGCGCAUCCGGUCGGUGGUUGACUCUUUUGUUUGCAUUACAAUUUACACGAGGGAAAAGCUCCAUCGCGGCACUCCUGAGCUGGACAGUGCGGAUGCGAUGCCACGCGUGACACCCAAAUUGUCUUUUUUUUUCUUUCUUCUUUUUAACCUUACUAGCUUGAAUACUUGAGCUUGAAUACUUGAUGCAAGUUGCUGGAAGGACCGAUCCAUCGAGAAACUGUUAGAACCAGAUUUGCUAUUCAUCGCCUUUCUUCACUUUAUCUUUUUUUUUAAUUCAUUUUGUUUCAUCACCCUUUGUUUUGCUAACCGACUACAAGAACGUUUUUUCCCAACUUUCUGUUUUUUCAACACAAUUCAUUUACUUUUUACUAAUUUGUUUUUUUAAGCUGAUAAUUUUUAAGAAAAUACUCCUCCGUUCGAAAAAAUACGACGUAUAACUUUUCUUGACCAACCAUAUAACAAAAUAUAACAACAUCUAUGGUGUCAAAUGUGUAAUAGGAUCGAGGUGUUGACUAGAGGGGGGGGUUGAAUAGGCAACUACAAAUUUUCACUUACUUUUACCAAUUUAGGCGCAGCGGAAAAUAGAGGUUAUCUAAAUGCAAUUAAGUGAAACAACCUAUAUGAUGCAAUACAAGCAAGCAACAAGACAAACACAAAGUAAUUAAGCUCAGGUAACCGAAGGGCUCGAAGGAGACAAGGAUUUAUCCCCAUGUUCACUUCCUUGGGAGGAAGCUAGUCACCGUUGGAGGGGUGAGGGAACCACGAGAGGUAUCCCUAAUAUCCCUGAAAAGGCACACCCAAUCUCCUUGAGCCUGCCACACCAAAGUAGGAGCUCAAUCACUAAGUGGUUGGCCUUGAGGUGGCCACCGAACCUUCACAAACUCCACGGGGCAAAUCCACAUCUAGGAGUCCCCACAACUCCAAGAGUAACAAGCACGAUGAAGAACUUGAAUAGGGACCAAAGCUUUGCUCAAAUUGAAUCUUGGGAUCUCAGUCCAACCUCUCUUCGAUCUCACAAGAUUAGGAGCUAGGGUUCUUGAGGGAGAGGGGAAAAGCUUUCCUUGGAUGGGAUCUCAAAUCUCACUCAAAACUCUCUUCUAUCCUCUCAAGAUUUGAAGGCUAGGGUUCUUGAGGAAGAGGGGAGUGUUCUUGGUGUUCUUGCUUGGGAUGCUCUGAGAAAACGUAGGCAAGUGGUCGGGGUCCUAACGGGAAGAAAUGGGGCGGAGGCCUUUAUACCCGUCACACAAAUUGCCCUUUUUUUUUUCUUUCUUCUUUUUGACCUUACUAGCUUGAAUACUUGAUGCAAGUUGCUGGAAGGACCGAUCGAUCGAGCAACGAAAAUAAAGAAAAUGUUAAGUGCGUCACUGUUAGUACCAUUAAUUUCCCAGAUUUGCUAUUCACCGCCUUUCUUCACUUUAUCUUUUUUUUUUCAAUUCAUUUUUUUUUCAUCGUCCUUUCUUUUUUUGAGGGAAAGCCAUCAUGGCGGCUUUAUUGAUUGAUAAACACACUUACAUCGUUCACAAGCAAACUAGAAAUAAAAUUGGGUGGAUCCUCAAGCCAAACAACACGCUGAGAAUCAACCGCCUGACGAGCUAAAGUGUGAGCUACCAAAUUACUCUCCCUAGGACAAUGAUUAAGACUAACAAAGCCAAAACCUCUAACAAGAAAAGAGCAUUCUUCAUAGAUCACCGCAGCAGGACCAAUGGACUUUCCGCCAUCGAGCAUCGUUUGCACCACCUCCAUGCAAUCACUAUUAAUCUCCAGUCUAUUACAACCCACCUGGCCAGCUAGCAAAAGCCCAUCACGAAGAGCUAUCGCUUCCGCGGUUGGCGCAUCUGCUACAUUCUCAAUACCAUAGCAACUACCUGCAAUGAAGGUACCCAUAUGAUCUCAUAUGACAGCCCCAGUAGCACCUGUCUCCGCAUCAGCAUUGAAAGCCGCAUCAACAUUCAAUUUAACAAAAUCAUCUUUCGGUCUCACCCAUCCGUGGCGUCUGAUUCCCGCGUUUUGGCGGCGAGCCCGAAAAUAAUUCGUAGCAAGAGCUGCAAUCGCAUGAGAAGACCUGGCAGGUUUCGCGAUUGCCUCACCUCGCACUGCUUGAUGGCGCUCCCACCAGGUAUACCAGCAAGCGGUAACAAUCAUCUCUUUUCUUCCAACGUCAGCAAAUAAAGAGCAAGGAGCAUCCGUUGACAUGAGCAGGGCCUCCAAAACUUCAGACCCUGAACGAAUAGGGACAUCCAACUCAUUGAUCAAGUCUGCCAAGCCCAAGUUUUCCCAGAUCUCCAUCACUCUCGGGCAUUUGAAAAAAGCAUGCAAAGUAUCCUCGCAAUGAAUCUUGCAUAAAGGGCAAGUACUGCUAGUUAUUAUAUGGCGAUUAGCGAGGACAAAGUUGCAAGGAAUAGUCCCAUGCAUGUAACAGGCGCCAGGAAAAAAUCUUCACCUUCGCUGAAACUUUCAAACUCCACACUUUGGACGCAACGGGAUUAUUUUCAGAAGUACUCUGUCCAUUCGUGCGUAAUAAUUUCCUUCCAUGUUGGUAGUUCCACUCCGUAUAGUACACAGAUUUGACAGAGAAGACCCCGUUCUUCGUGUUAUUCCAAGAAAUAAAAUCCUCCAUCAUUCCAACCGAGAGUGGAAUUCUCAAUAUGCGGUUAACAUCGAUAGGGAGAAGGAGAGUAUGGAGCAGAUCCUCAUCCUAGCUCCCAGAUUCCAAAUCAAUAAGCUCAGAAACCCGAGUAUAGACCACAUUUCCGCGAGCAGUAAGAAUUUUCCUUCAGGGGCUAUUCAGAAUCCACGGAUCAUUCCAGAUAUUAAUCUUUGAGCCAUCACCCACUCGCCAGAUAUAGCCUUUUUUGAAAGUUUGGAUGCCUGCCCAGAUACUUUGCCAGGUAUGUGAAGAACCUUUCUUGAGCUGGGAGUUAAGAAUGUCACCAUCAGGAAAGUACUUAGCUUGAAGAACUCUAGCACAAAGAGAAUCUGGUUCACAAAGAAGACGCCAGCAUUGUCUUGCCAACAUCACCAAAUUAAAACAUGGCAGAUCACGGAACCCCAUUCCUCCUCUCUUCUUAGGUAUGUACAUUUUCUACCAAGAAAACCAAUGCAUAUGUUUAUGAUCCUCAUCAUCUCCCCACCAGUAACAGGUCAUAGCAUCUGUGAUCCCUUUUGUUAUCUGUUUGGGGAGCUUGAAAACGGACAUUGCAUAUGCCGGGAUAGCCUGAGCCACGGCCUUAAGAAGAACCUCUUUACCGCCAUAGGAUAACACUUUCUCUUUAUAUCCAUUCAAUCUUUGACAUGUUCGAUCGAUAAGAUGUUGGAAACAAUCUGAUCUGUCCACCCCAACCAGAGGUGGCAGCCCCAAAUACUUAUCAGUGAUGGCUUCAGUUAAGAUAUUGAGUUCCGCACAUAUCACCUCUCUGACUUCUGCCGGGGUGCAAGGGCUGAAGAAAAUACUAGAUUUUUCAUCACUGACCAUCUGCCCCGAAGCACCACAAUAAUCUUGCAAAAUACUCCGAAGAGUUGUUGCGUUAGCCAGAUCAGCCUGCAUCAAAAUCAAGGAAUCAUCAGCGAACAAAAGGUGUGAAACUGAGGGGGCGUUCCAGCACACUUUGACCCCGAUGGGAGCCCCCGUGUCUUCAGCGUGCUUCAGGAGGCUGGUAAGACCGUAGAAAAAGAUAUGGUGACAAUGGAUCACCCUGGCGGAGACCUCUCGUGGGAGAGAACUUCUCAGUUUCUUGUCCAUUAAAUCGGACCUGGUAUCUCACCAAAGAGACACAUGCCAUGAUAAGAGUAACCCACGUUUGAUCAAAACCAAGUCGGAUCAAAAUCUUUUCAAGAAACCUCCACUCGACACGGUCAUACGCCUUGUGCAUAUCAAGUUUAAUGGCGCAUGCACCAAAUUUCCGCACCUCCUUCUUCUUGAUCGUGUGGUAGGACUCAUAAGCAAUGAGGACGUUGUCCGUAAUCAAACGACCCAGGACAAAAGCACUCUGAUGUGGCAAAAUAAUCUCAGGCAAGAGUAACUUCAAACGAGCCGUUAAGAGCUUCGAAAUAACUUUGUAAGUAACAUUACAUAAGCUAAUGGGACGAUACUGAGUUACCUUCUCCUGGCAAUCAAUCUUGGGAAUUAACAUAAUCAUCUUAUCAUUCCAGCCUUCCGGGAUAACACCUGAAUUGACCGCCAAAAGCACUGCGUCGAUAAUCUCAUCACCAAACAAGCUCCAGUAUCGCUUGUAAAAAAUGGCAUGAAGGCCAUCCGCCCCGGGGCUUUGAGAUCACCGAUGCUGAACAUUGCUUUCUUCACUUCUUCUCUGGAGUACAGCGCACGUAACAGAUCAUUCAUGGGCUGCGUCGCACACGGCACCACUUUAUUAAUAACCUCCUCAUCCGGAUCAGUGACUUCUGCAGUAAAGAGAUGCUGAAAGUACUCAUUAAUACGGGCUGAUAGUUCCUCUCUACCUUCAAUCCAAACAUCAUUGUUGUCCUUCAAUUUCUUGAUGAGGUUUCUCUUCUUUCUAGCAGUAGCAAAACUAUGGAAAAACUUGGUAUUACGGUCCCCAAAUUUCAUCCAAUCAGCUCUACUACGCUGCACCCACUUGAUCUCUUCUUGUUCAUCAAUGUUUUCAAUUUUCAGUUGAAUGGCUUGUUGCCGGGCCGUAGCCUCAUCAGACAGAGGACCCGCCAUAACAAUAUUAAGCUCCUCCUGAAGGGCGCUUUUCCGAACCCGAGGAGACUGAAGAACAUUUUUAUCCCAAUCAUGGAGUGACCGAUGAACCAAUUUCAGGCGGUCAGCUAAACUCAUCGGAACUCCUGAAUGUGCCCGUUGCCAUGCCUCUCCAAUAAUAUCAUCAAUUUGUUCUUCCAUCAACCAACGAGCAUCAAACAUUUUCUUGCCCGGCUGGCGAACAUCACCAACCCCCUCUAGGAAGGAACAAUCAAUCACCACCGGUCUGUGGUAGAUUUUGUAAAAUCCUCAUGAAUAACUGAAGCUAGUGGAAACAAAUCAUUCCAUCUGUGAUUGCACACAACCCGGUCUAGCCUCUCCCUAACUCUGCCUCGUCUCCAGGUGAAAGGAUCACCUGUAUAACCCAUAUCAAAGAGAGCGCAAUCAGAUAACGCAUCCUGAAACGCUUGCAUGUGCCGUUGAGCUCUGGCUGCACCUCCAUCCUUCUCAUGUCCCCAAAGAAUUUCGUUAAUAUCGCCUGCCACAAACCAUGGCAAAUCAGCCCGUCCAUGCAAGUUACGAAGGUACUCCCAGGUGAAUUGCUUCCGAUCUCCAUUCGGCUCACCGUAGAGACCGGUAAAACGCCACCCACCAUUAGAAGCCUCAUCAAUACGAAUAUCAAGGAAAUUAUUAUGCACCUCAGAAGAAGUCACCCGCAGAUCCUUCCUCUAGAGCAAAAGAAGGCCACCGCUUCUCCCGUCGCUCUCGGACAUAAUCAUGUGAUCGAAAGAGAGAUUACGUCUCAUGUUUUCUGCCCUUGCUUUAGUCAGAUGGGUCUCGGAGGAAAACAAUAUCUGGCUUUAUUCUUCCAUGGACCUCCACGAGCGCUCGCACAGCCGAGCGCUUACCCAAACCUUGUCAAUUCCAGCUAAGAAUCUUCAUAUCAACCAGAACGCCCUUAAGAAACAACCUUGACAGCACCUAAGACCGAAUUGGAUCGGUAGGAGAAAACUUGGCGACGUAAAACGUCCCAAGGAAAAAACCCAGAUUGGAAGCUUGGUCGGGUGAGCCCGACGGAGAAACAGAUUGGACUCACCGUCGGGGAUCGGUGGGAGGAGGUGUACUCAUCGCCGGGGCCGGCGGGAGGAGGUGGACUCACCGCCGGGAGACGGUGGGAGGAAGAGGCCGCCGGCCCUAACUCAUCGUCCUAGACUAAUGGAAGAGGCGUGAGGUUACUUUUUCAUCGUCCUUUGUUUUACUAACCGACUACAAGAAUGUUUUCCCCCAACUUUCUGUUUUUUCAACACAAUUCAUUUACUUUUUACUAAUUUGUUUUUUUAAUCUGAUAAUUUUUAAGAAAAUACUUCUCCGUUUGAAAAUAUAUGACGUAUAACUUUUCUUGACCAGCCAUAUAACAAAAUAUAACAACAUCUAUGGUGUCAAAUGUGUAACCAGACUUUGGGAGGAUCGAGGUGUUGACUAGAGGGGGGGGAGGGGGUUAAUGGGCAACUACAAAUUUUCACUUACUUUUGCCAAUUUAGGCGCAGCAGAAAAUAGAGGUUAUCUAAAUGCAACUAAGUGAAACAACCUAUAUGAUGCAAUACAAGCAAGCAACAAGACAAACACA
rnacentral:lncRNA from 1 species